rnacentral:rRNA from 1 species
UGACCUCGAUCAGUGAAAU